rnacentral:lncRNA from 1 species
UAAUUUUCAAAUUUAUGUUUUGUACCUUGAACUUCAUGGCUAGUUUUCAAUAUUUUCCAAACUCCAAAUGGAUUUUUGUUCAACAUAACAUUUGUUCCUUAUGUCAAGAUCUUUCCAACCAUUACCCACAUGCUUAUGUUUGGAUUUUACAAAUGGGAUUUUUGAAGAGGAGAACAAUUAUGAUCAAUUAUGCAUUUCAUGUUAAAUCUUCAUGCACAAUCCAUUGCCUUGCCAUCUG